GCAUGUACAGUUAAAAGGUAAGGAAUUACUUUUAAAUUACAUGAACAUGUAAUCUGUAAUGCGUAACAGUUUGGAAGUAAGUUGCACAACACUA